CUUUCAUGAGUCGCCCAUGCGUUGCACUACUGCACGGGCCUGGCUCAACCCGCCAAUUUUAAAGUCCUAAUUUGAUCCUCUAAUAACUUUAUUUCAGUCUUUCUUAAAAACAUUUUACUUUAAUAUUAUUGACCACUCUUUCGAUUUUGGUAGUUAAUGUAUAUAUCGUUGAUCUGAUUGAAAUGGCUGGGAAUGAUUUUGAGUUUAUGGAACUUUGAUGGUGCUACUUAUAUUGCCUGCUCUGAUACUAAACGCUCGUUGAAAAAUCUUUAAAGCAGGUGCAUACCAAUUCAGUUUAAUCGAUCUGAUGGCUUAGGAUUUAUUUCUCUCUGUCUUUUCCCGUUGCUGAGUCAAG